rnacentral:rRNA from 1 species
GACGAACGCUGGCGGCGUGCCUAAUACAUGCAAGUCGAACGCUUUUUCUUUCACCGGGGCUUGCUCCACCGAAAGAAAAAGAGUGGCGAACGGGUGAGUAACACGUGGGUAACCUGCCCAUCAGAAGGGGAUAACACUUGGAAACAGGUGCUAAUACCGUAUAACACUAUUUUCCGCAUGGAAGAAAGUUGAAAGGCGCUUUUGCGUCACUGAUGGAUGGACCAGGGGUGCAUUAGCUAGUUGGUGAGGUAACGGCUCACCAAGGCAACGAUGCAUAGCCGACCUGAGAGGGUGAUCGGCCACACGGGGACUGGGACACGGCCCAGACUCCCACGGGAGGCAGCAGUAGGGAAUCUUCGGCAAUGGACGAAAGUCUGACCGAGCAACGCCGCGUGAGUGAAGAAGGUUUUCGGAUCGUAAAACUCUGUUGUUAGAGAAGAACAAGGAUGAGAGUAAAAUGUUCAUCCCUUGACGGUAUCUAACCAGAAAGCCACGGCUAACUACGUGCCAGCAGCCGCGGUAA